CAAUAUAAUAUACAUUGUUUUUUUAGACUCUUCAAAAUAAAAGAUUCAGCUAAUAUUAGUGCACAAAAAUUGACAAAAAUGUUUAAACCAAAGUCAGCAAAUUGAAUUGCAACAUGAAUUUGUGAGAAAGAAAGCUGUCGAGUUUUCAUCAAAUCAUUGUGGGGUGGAGCAGAGUCCUGUUUGGUGGGUCAGAGGAAAGGGGACGGUUGCUUUCAGCUACAUUACACAGACUUCAAAGAUUCAUAUCACCACCGCUCUCGAGACUGAUCAUGAAUACAGAUUUUGGAAAACAGCUUAAAAUGAAAUACUGUAAGAUAUUUCUCUUUCUUCUAUUAAUUAUCAUGGAUGUCUCAACAAAUGCUCAAGAAGUUAGCUGUGAGAGUGAACAGCUCAUCA